CUACUGCGGGCCGAAACGGCCGGCCGGCCCGGGCCCCCUCUGGCCGAAAUUUCGUUCCGGCCGGGGCCUCCUGUGACCGAAAUUUUCGUUCCAUCCCGAAUUGGGAUCAUCGAAAUGUAAGGAAAAACGUACCGUGAGAGGUUUCCGGAAAUAAAUAUUUUGAUACUUUCGUCGGUACAAAGUUUCCCAAAUUGGAUAUAUCUGCGUAACUGUAGAUGAACAGUAAACUGGUGAAGAAAAUAGUUGACCGGUAAAAUAUUAAGGAUUGAGGGUUUAGGGUUUGAUUAUCUAGGAUACUAAAGUUAGGGUAUAACGUAUAGAGUUUAAGGAUAAGCGCUUUAUUGUUUAGAGUUCUAGGGUUAAGGGUUUAGGGUUUUACAAUUUAGGGUUUAGGGUUUGAUAAGUAGGUAUCGG
rnacentral:lncRNA from 1 species